GACAGAGGGUGCAAACGUUGUUCGGAAUACUGGGCGUAAAGCGUGUGUAGGCGGUCCUCUAAGUCGGAUGUGAAAUCCCUGGGCUCAACCCAGGAAGUGCACUCGAAACUGGAGGGCUAGAGUAUCGGAGAGGUUGGUGGAAUUCUCGGUGUAGAGGUGAAAUUCGUAGAUAUCGAGAGGAACACCGGUGGCGAAGGCGGCCAACUGGACGAAUACUGACGCUGAGACACGAAAGCGUGGGGAGCAAACAGG
rnacentral:rRNA from 1 species